AGAUUUAUUAUACUUUUCCCGGUCACAUUUAUAAACAACUUUUGCAUUUUUAGAUUCAUUAAAUAAUUGGUCUCGACUAAAUUAUAAUACAGAUGCAUCAGUUAUUUAAUAAAUUUGAAAUGGAAAUAGAGAACUCUCCAUUUUCUGAUGCUUCAGCCUUCAAUACUUUCAUAGUCUAGACUAGAUGAUAAUAUACUAGUAACAUCUAAGGCAAAACGAGAAUAUUUUGCUUUCCUAAAGUUUAUUAACGAUAUUUUAGUUCAUGGUGUUUGAACUCCUGCCUCUAUGUGUGGUAGUUGUACAUCUCAAUUUUGCGACCAUUCAAUGGCUGAAGAGGCCUUGCGUUGUGCUGAAACUCUACCCCCAAUGGUGCCUUUAGAAGUUCUAGUUGUUUCUUGGAGAGUGUCCGAACCUGCAUGUUCGAUAGGUAAAAAAUUACACACGAACGGAAGACAAACGGACAAGACAAUAAGUUAUCCCGCUAAACCUUUUUAGAUUGCGAAAACCAAUCCUCGUGAAAAUUAAUUUCAUACUAUCAAUUCAAUUUCUAUCACAACAUAACCAAAUACAAUUAGUACCUUGUCAAUGACGUUCCAAAUGACACCUUCUUUGCAUGGAGGAGUAGUAAGAGAGCCAACAUAUCUAUAAUAUCUAUAGAUCUUUUUAUUUAAUUCAUUUACAUCAAAGGUGCCAAGAGCAAUGUUAGCAUUUUUAUUGCCUGCAUGGUUCUCAUUGACUAGCUUAUAGAACUUGUCUUCAAUCUGCAUCCAAGAACCACAUGUAAUUGGAAGCUAUACUACUAUCUACUUAUGUUAUUUAUGUGCUAUUAACAUUCCAAAUGAUAAACCCUAUAUACUUUAUAUUAUAUGAGUCACAUAAUAAUAGUGAAUGUGAUUUUAACUCUACCUUGGAGAUUAGAGGAUCAGGAACACCCAAUCUAUAGAGCUGUGCCACAACUGCUAUGUUAUUGUUAUCUUCUGUGAAGUGAACUAAGUGGAGCUCGGCGUCAUGUCUGGAUUUCAGAAUAAUUUGUACAAAGAUUAGGGUUACAAAUUAGUCCUCCCAAAAAAGUUAGAAAAUUUAUUGUAAAAUUUCUAAUGUCACUUAAUAUAUAUAUUUUUGAAAUACAAUGUGACUUCAAUUUAAAAUUCUUAAGAUGAAAUUGAUUUUUUUUUUUUUCAGAGGCUAAAUAUAUCUCUACAUUUGUUUUUUCUUUGACAAGAUAUCUCUAGAUUUGUUGUCAAAUUCUAGUUUGGUUAAAUACUAUUUAUUGUUAGUAAAAGAAAAUCCUUCAUAUAUAUUCUGGGUUAAUAGUGUUUUACCCCCUAAUAGGUCAUUCAAAAACCAAUUAUUAUUUUUUUUGUCAGAAAUUUCAUUUUUGAAUGACAUGUUAGGGUUAGGGGUAUUCAAAAACAAUUUUUUUUACAGAAAGGUAAAUAAAAAAAAUUACAGGACGGAGAAUCGAAAAUGACCUAUAUUAUGAGGUAAAAUAUCAUUAACCCUAUAUUCAGUUCAAUUACCGUAUCAUUUUUCUAAGCUCCAAUAUCACUAUUUCAUAUUUAUAUAGUAAAAUACUAAUAGAAAAUUAUCAGCAUGAUUACUGAUGUAACAAUAGAAUCUAACAUUCUUUUAUGAAAAAAAAAAAUGCUUGUUUAAAUAUAAAUUACGAGUUCCACAAUAAUCAAAAGGUACUAUGGCCUUGUUUCUUUUUAAAAAAAAAUGCCUGUUUAUUUAAUCAUAAAAAUGAUUCUACCCUCUUUCUGAUAUACCACGGGCCAAACAUUAUAUUCCAUAACGAUUUUCUAUCAAAGAAUAUUUUUAAAAAUAUUAAAAAGUUUGACCAUUAAUGAUUGUAUUGGUUUUGAAUGUUUUAACUAUUUUUUUGAACAAAAAACAAACCAUAAAUACUACUCUGGUUGUGUUUUAUCAUGUGUCACAUGAAGAGUGCUAAAACACUCUCUUUCAAAUACUCUUACUAACAUUCACUCUUUUUAUUAUGUGAAAUUAAUGCGGGUUUCAUCACUUUAUGUUAUAUCUCUUUUGAAAGUGUGAUACAUAUAUAAGUUUCACCCAAUAAAGAAUGAGUGUUAAAAAAGUUAAAAAGACGUGUUUCUAACUUCAUCUAUGUGAAUGAGUGUUAAAAAAGUUAAAAAAACGUGUUUCUAACUUCAUCUAUGUUCACUUUGAAAAAAUAUCUGUGUCAGAUUAUAAAGUACUCAUUUUCUAACUUCAUCUAUGUUCACAUUAGAAUAUAAAUAUGACAUUAAUACUUAAUUUCUCUUUCCUAUAUUAUUAAAGAAAAAUAAUUCACAUUAGAAUAUAAAUAUGACAUUAAUGCUUAAUUUAUCUUUCCUAUAUUAUUAAAGAAAAAUAAUUUUACAAAAUCAGUCGUAAUUUAAGGAGUAUAAAAACACAUACCUUGGUGAAUUUGAUGACUACAAAAAUAACAAUUUCCAUUGUCUUUUACAAUUAUGGUUGUAGGGAGAAAUUGGUACAAUUUAAGUAUAUGCAAUAAACACCUUUAUAAUUUAUUAAAUAAUUGAUAUAUUUCGUAUGUAAUAUAAAUCAAAUACAUUAAUUAUUCAAUAAUUUUAAAAAUAAAUUUUUGCUUAUGAUAAUAACCAUAUAGUGUAUGUUUCACCAAACCAUUAAAGUAUUUUUCAUUUCAUCUACAAAAUUACGGUAUGCAUGUUUCGAAUAUAACUUUGUCAAAAGAAAAAAAUGUUUCCAAUAUAAUUCUUCUUUGGAAAAAAAAAUUCCAAUAUAAAUUAUGUGUUGUGGCACACGGCUAAUUUAAUUUUUUUAAUGGGACAAUAUAUUGUCUUAAUUGUAGUUUUAUAUGAAACUUUGUUUGAUCAUUAAAAUUCACAAUUAUUUCAAAUAAGAAAUAAUUGUGAAUUUUAAUGAGCAAACAAAGUUUCAUAUAAAACAAAGCUAGUAACCAAAAAAAAAAUCAAACAAAGCUGUCAAAAAUGGAGUAAUAAUAGUAAUAAUCAAACCAAAGUAAUUAAGAAAACUAUAAUUUAAAUAGAGAGGGUUUAAUCAAUGUUGUUUUGUUUUUAUUAUGUCCAAAAUACUUCCUCCGUCUCAUAAAAAUUGUCUCUUUAACCUUUUUUCUUUUUCUCAAAACAAUUGUCACUUUAGUAUACUAAUGUAACAUUUAUUAUAUUUUUCCAUUAUUAUACCCUUAUUUAUUGAACUUCAUCUAACUUAAUUACUUCACUAACUACAAUUAAUAAGGAUAUUUUAAUAAAUGAUAUUAAUUUUACCAUUGAAAUCAACACAAUUAAUCAUUUUCUUAAUAAUCGUGCACAAAUCUUAAACGACCAUUAUUUAGAGAGAGAUGGAGUAAAAGGCAUCACCCUUGAUUGGGUGGAAUGUAUUGGAAGAGCAGAAGAGAGAGGGAACUUACAAACGACCAUGAGCCCUGUGCUCUGCAGGUGCAUGCCAAUGAAGUUGUUUCAAUGAAUAAUUCAUUCCAUUUAUAUUAAUAUCGCCCACUUUUCCUUCAAAAUGCACCUAUAGAUACCAAACUCAACAAUAUUAGUUAGUUGAUAUCAGAAUUUUCCUUUGACAAAACCAAAACUAAAAAUUUGACCUAAUAAUAAUAAUAAUAAUACAAAAAUAUCGCAUUAGACAUCAAACAUGUUUUUAUAUAAAGUGUCGGUGUUACAUAGUUAAUCAGAUAAGCACAAUUUUUCUUUAGAAGGAAAAGUCUUUUCAAUUCAAGUUAAUUUUUAUUUUUAACUGAUUUGUUAGUUGAUGAAAAUACAUACCCCAAUACUGUAUUGGUGGUUAACAAGUGUGGCAUUUGUAGGAAGGUAGUUUCUGUCUAAGGAUUUCAAUACAUUGUUCACAACAAUAUUUGUCAUUGCAAGAUCCACUGGACUCUGUGCUUUCCCAUUUGAGCAUGCUGCGAAUGAUUGUUUUAGUGUUCCCCAUUUCAGAGGACCAUUUGGUCCAAUAUAACUAAAAUUAACCGAAUCUAGCAUAAAAAUUAGAAAAAAAAAAACCUCAGUCAUAAAAAAUUAUCAGCAUAUCAUAACAUGUAAUUUAGUCUUCACAGAUUAAGAAAAACAAUAAUACUCAGUUGUAGAAUGAAGGAAUGAGAAAAAUGUAGCACUGAAUUAAUUUUUUGAUAUUAAGUUAUGAAAAAUGCAAAAUGAAAUCGUACCAUGAUUUGCUGAAGUGCAUAGAGCCAAAGCAGCUAUGGAAAGGAUUGAGAUGUAAAUCUGCAAGGCCA
rnacentral:lncRNA from 1 species